GAUGAACGCUAGCUACAGGCUUAACACAUGCAAGUCGAGCGGGGUGAUGGUGCUCGCACUAUCACUUAGCGGCGGACGGGUGAGUAAUGCUUAGGAAUCUGCCUAUUAGUGGGGGACAACAUCUCGAAAGGGAUGCUAAUACCGCAUACGUCCUACGGGAGAAAGCAGGGGAUCACUUGUGACCUUGCGCUAAUAGAUGAGCCUAAGUCGGAUUAGCUAGUUGGUGGGGUAAAGGCCUACAAAGGCGACGAUCUGUAGCGGGUCUGAGAGGAUGAUCCGCCACACUGGGACUGAGACACGGCCCAGACUCCUACGGGAGGCAGCAGUGGGGAAUAUUGGACAAUGGGGGGAAGCCUGAUCCAGCCAUGCCGCGUGUGUGAAGAAGGCCUUAUGGUUGUAAAGCACUUUAAGCGAGGAGGAGGCUCUUUUGGUUAAUACCCAAGAUGAGUGGACGUUACUCGCAGAAUAAGCACCGGCUAACUCUGUGCCAGCCGCCGCGGUAA
rnacentral:rRNA from 1 species